UACCAACCCUCCGAGUGGUAGGGAUGAUUAUUUGGCUUAAAGCGUCCGUAGCUGGCUUGAAAAGUCUUCCGUUAAAUCCAGCGUCUAAGCGUUGGAAAGCGGAAGAUACUAUCAAGCUAGGAGGCGGAAGAGGCCGACGGUAUUUCUAGGGGAGGGGUGAAAUCCUAUAAUCCUAGGAGGACCACCAGUGGCGAAGGCGGUCGGCCAGAACGCACUCGACGGUGAGGGACGAAAGCUGGGGGAGCGAACCGGAUUAGAUACCCGGGUAGUCCCAGCAGUAAACUAUGCAGGCUAGGUGUUGGGGCGGCUACGAGCCGCUUCAGUGCCGCAGGAAAACCGUUAAGCUUGCCGCCUGGGGAGUACGACCGCAAGGUUGAAACUUAAAGGAAUUGGCGGGGGAGCACUACAAGGGGUGAAGGCUGCGGUUU
rnacentral:rRNA from 1 species